UACGUAGGGUGCAAGCGUUGUCCGGAAUUAUUGGGCGUAAAGAGCUUGUAGGCGGUUUGUCGCGUCUGCUGUGAAAUUUCGGGGCUCAACCCCGAACUUGCAGUGGGUACGGGCAGACUAGAGUGUGGUAGGGGAGACUGGAAUUCCUGGUGUAGCGGUGAAAUGCGCAGAUAUCAGGAGGAACACCGAUGGCGAAGGCAGGUCUCUGGGCCGACACUGACGCUGAGGAGCGAAAGCGUGGGGAGCGAACAGG
rnacentral:rRNA from 1 species